CUUCUUGAUGAGCAGUUGCCCCGUAAAGCGGGGAGGAAAGUCCGGGCGCCAUUAAAAGCAAGCCAACUCCUAACAGGAGCCGUCUCGCACCGCGGGAUAGGGAAAGUGCCACAGAGACUAUACUACCCCGCAUAGCGGGGGAAAUGUGAAAAGUGAGAAGGUGUUUUAUACUACUUCUCUCUCUCAAUGGUAACAUUGAUUUGGGUAAACCCUGGCUGGCGCAAGACGAGAUGGGAGAAUAAGCGGUUUUUGCUUUUAAUAAGCUUAUUCUGCUCGUCGCUAGAGCUUUAUGGCGACAUAAAGCCCAGAUAGAUAACUGCGAAUUGUCAUUUAAAAUAAUGUCUUUAAAUGGCGAUUACAGAACCCGGCUUAUGAUUCGGGAAGCAUU
rfam:Peregrinibacteria bacterium GW2011_GWC2_33_13 TR30_C0016, whole genome shotgun sequence.